GACGAACGCUGGCGGCGUGCCUAAUACAUGCAAGUAGGACGCAGUUGCGAACGGGUGAGUAACGCGUAGGUAACUGCCUAUGAGAGGGGGAUAACUAUUGGAAACGAUAGCUAAUACCGCAUACUAGUAGAUGGACCUGCGUUGUAUUAGCUAGUAGGUAGGGUAAUGGCCUACCUAGGAAACGAUACAUAGCCGACCUGAUGGGUUGAUCGGCCACACUUGGACUGAGACACGGCCCAGACUCCUACGGGAGUCAGCAGUAGUGAAUCUUCGGCAAUGGGGGGAACCCUGACCGAGCACCGCCGCGGGAGUGAAGAAGGUCUUCGGAUCGUAAAGCUCUGUUGUUAAGGAAGCGGUACUUAACCAGAAAGGGACGGCUAAAUACGUGCCAGCAGCCGCGGUAAUUC
rnacentral:rRNA from 1 species